AACGAACGCUGGCGGCAGGCUUAACACAUGCAAGUCGAACGAGAUCUUCGGAUCUAGUGGCAGACGGGUGAGGAACACGUGGGAACAUCCCUUUCAGUUCGGAAUAACGUUGGGUAACUAACGCUAAUACCGGAUACGUCCUUCGGGAGAAAGAAUUAUCGCUGAAAGAUUGGCCCGCGUCUGAUUAGCUAGUUGGUGAGGUAACGGCUCACCAAGGCUACGAUCAGUAGCUGAUCUGAGAGGAUGAUCAGCCACAUUGGGGCUGAGACACGGCCCAAACUCCUACGGAAGGCAGCAGUGGGGAAUAUUGGACAAUGGGCGCAAGCCGAUCCAGCCAUGCCGCGUGAGUGAUGACGGCCUUCGGGUUGUAAAGCUCUUUUGUCCGGGAAGAUAAUGACUGUACCGGAAGAAUAAGCCCCGGCAAACUUCGUGCCAGCCGCCGCCGUAA
rnacentral:rRNA from 1 species